AAGUUAUUAAGAUAAAAAAAGUACAUCCAAGGCAGAUGGGGUGAACGUUAGAGACUUAAAGCUUUUCUCUCACACCCAGAUACACUCUUCUCACUCUGCUUAUACUGACGACGACGACGAAAGGAGAUUUAUAGUGGUGGAGGCUAGGGCAUAGGUUCCGACGUGUGGCUCGUAACCAAUUCGAGGAAGGCGAUGACAGCGACGCGUUACCGUUCGCUUUCGGAAGGAUGUGGCGGCGACGACAGUGGCGCACUACCGUUUGGAAGGUUGUGACGGCGACGAAGGUACGAUAUCGCGCGAUUUAGAGAGUUUUAGAAGAAGGCUCGUACGCGAGGUUGACCGGUACGGCGUGACUCUUAGCGAUUUCGAAGGAAGUUGGCUACCGGUGGAUUUGUUUUUAUCCCUGGAUGCGAUUUGGUUUCUCAGGUUUGCUAGUGACGUACUGGGUUUCGGUGACCUGGAUUUUCAGGGUUGCAACUGAUGUACUGUUUUUGUGAUUUGGGUUUUCAGGUUUGCUCAAUGCGGCGUGAAGAGUUUGGUCGCGUGGUGAGUUAAGCUUGGAUGAGCGGCUUGCGGUUGGUUUAAAGAAAAUGAUGAGGGUGACACGUUGUUGCCGGGUAGUGUGAGUCAUUGGAUUUUGAUGGCGGUUUAGAACAGAGACGUGUGAUUAUUAUUGAAGGGGUUGUCUCGGCGGUGCGAAGUUGUGGAUGACUGUUAACGUGGUCGACAAGACGCAAGGUGGUUAAGGCGUGUUAUGGUCGGAAAAAAAUGUAAAGGAGCGGUGGAGUUCAUGCAGGUUUGAGGGUUACAAUAUGUGAGAGUUUAAUGUCAAUAGUAGUCAUGGCUGAUGGUUACCUAUGAUAUUGUAAAGCUUGGGUAUUUCUGGUGUAAAAAUGUUGUUUGGUGGCUAUGAAGGUGUGUGUAGAGUGGGUGGUUUUUAAGAGACUCAAUGAGAUAAAAGGAGAACGGCUGUGUUGCAUAUCCAAGUGCUACUAUGUCCAGGAAAACAACCAUGAGGGUGCUUGGAAAGCGCCCUCUCUUAACACCAAUGAAAAGUAAAAAAAGUAUACAUAAGAAAGAAUGAACAAUGAUAAUACCUGACUGUUGGUGAAUAGCAAGUUUUGCAUAUAAAUGAAUACAGUUCUUCUUUUCUUACAGGAGGGAGUCCGAACUCCUUAGACAAAAGCAAUGAGUAAAGAAUGGUUCUCCCCCUUCUUUUUUUUAGUGCCCCCCCUCUAGGAUUUACAGUGAACUUAUUUGUUGCUUAGUAACAAAGUUAGAUAUGAAAUUGGCUACUUUUUGAAACAUGAGAGUUUGUUUUGAUCAAUUGGUAUAAAACUCUAUUAAUUAUGAAAUU